GAUAGGGUGGCUGAAUUGUAGGCUAUAAAUUGUAAAUUUAUAUAUGAUAUUUUAUCUCUUAUCA
rnacentral:tRNA from 1 species